rnacentral:rRNA from 1 species
CAAAAGAAAGGCUACAUGGUUGUUACAGCCCAUUUUAUUGAUGAAUCUUUUAAUCUAAAGAGCAUCAUUUUGAGGUUUGCAUAUGUACCAGCACCACAUAAUGGUGAAGUUAUUUGUCAAGCUUUGCACGAAUGUCUUCUUGAUUGGCAUCUAGAGAGGAAGUUAUCCACAGUUACUCUUGACAAUUGCACAAGUAAUGACAAGGCUAUUGAUAUCUUGAUAGAUAAGUUGGAUACUAAAUCACUUAUGUUGGAGGGUAAGUAUCUGCAUAUGCGUUGUUGUGCACAUAUCCUUAAUCUGAUUGUGAAAGAUAGAAUGAGUGUCAUGGAGAAAGGUAUUGCUAGAGUCCGCGAUAGUGUUGCAUUUUGGCAGGCCACACCUAAAAGGCACGAGAAAUUUGAAAAGAUGGCACACACUUUAAACAUUGACUAUUCUAGAAGGUUGUUU